rnacentral:rRNA from 1 species
AACGAACGCUGGCGGCAGGCUUAACACAUGCAAGUCGAGCGGAGCGAGGGUGCUUGCACCUUAGCUUAGCGGCGGACGGGUGAGUAAUGCUUAGGAGUCUGCCUAUUAGUGGGGGACAACAUUCCGAAAGGAAUGCUAAUACCGCAUACGCCCUACGGGGGAAAGCAGGGGAUCUUCGGACCUUGCGCUAAUAGAUGAGCCUAAGUCGGAUUAGCUAGUUGGUGGGGUAAAGGCCUACCAAGGCGACGAUCUGUAGCGGGUCUGAGAGGAUGGUCCGCCACACUGGGAAUGAGACACGGCCCAGACUCCUACGGGAGGCAGCAGUGGGGAAUUUUGGACAAUGGGCGGAAGCCUUAUCCAGCCAUGCCGCGGGUGUGAAGAAGGCCUUUUGGUUGUAAAGCACUUUAAGCGAAGAGGAGGCUACUUAGAUUAAUACUCUGGGAUAGUGGACGUUACUCGCAGAAUAAGCACCGGCUAACUCUGUGCCAGCAGCCGCGGUAA